CAGCUGGUUGGUGGGGUAAAGGCUCACCAAGGCGUCGAUCGGUAGCUGGUCUGAGAGGACGAGCAGCCACACUGGGAUUGAGAACGGCCCAGACUCCUACGGGGGGCAGCAGUGAGGAAUUUUCGGCAAUGGAGGCAACUCUGACCGAGCAACGCCGCGUGCAGGAAGACGCGUUUCGGCGUGUAAACUGCUUUUCUGCGGGACGAGCAAGGACGGUACCGCAGGAAGAAGCCCCGGCUAACUACGUGCCAGCAGCCGCGGUAAUACGUAGGGGGCGAGCGUUGUCCGGAGUUACUGGGCGUAAAGGGCAUGUAGGCGGUCGAUUUUGUCGGGGCGGACAGGGGAGGGCUCCACCCUCUCAGCAGCCACGAAACGGGUCGCCUGGAGCCUCAGAGAGGGACACGGAAUUCCGGGUGGAGCGGUGAAAUGCGUAGAGAUCCGGAGGAACACCGCAGGCGCAGGCAGUGUCCUGGCUGAGAGCUGACGCUGAGGUGCGAAAGCGAGGGGAGCGAACGGGAUUAA
rnacentral:rRNA from 1 species